rnacentral:rRNA from 1 species
UGGGGAAUAUUGCACAAUGGGCGCAAGCCUGAUGCAGCCAUGCCGCGUGUGUGAAGAAGGCCUUCGGGUUGUAAAGUACUUUCAGUCGGGAGGAAGGUGGUAAGGUUAAUAACCUUGGCAAUUGACGUUACCGACAGAAGAAGCACCGGCUAACUCCGUGCCAGCAGCCGCGGUAAUACGGAGGGUGCAAGCGUUAAUCGGAAUUACUGGGCGUAAAGCGCACGCAGGCGGUCUGUCAAGUCGGAUGUGAAAUCCCCGGGCUCAACCUGGGAACUGCAUUCGAAACUGGCAGGCUAGAGUCUUGUAGAGGGGGGUAGAAUUCCAGGUGUAGCGGUGAAAUACGUAGAGAACUAGAGGAAUACCGGUGGCGAAGGCGGCCCCCUGGACGAAGACUGACGCUCAGGUGCGAAAGCGUGGGGAGCAAACAGG